rfam:Streptomyces vietnamensis strain GIM4.0001, complete genome.
UCGGCCCCGGUUCACGCUGUCCGCAACCCGCGGCGGCGACCCGGAGCC